rnacentral:rRNA from 1 species
CCGGGUGGACCAUUACUUCUGGAAUGGGUUUUGGUUGAAACGAGAGGCUUUUGGAUGGGUCUGCGGCUGAUUAGGUUGUUGCCGGUGUAACGUACCGGCAAGCCGAUAAUCAGUACGGGUUGUGGGAGCAAGAGCCCGGAGAUGGAUUCUGAGACACGAAUCCAGGCCCUACGGGGCGCAGCAGGCGCGAAAACUUUACAAUGCAGGUAACUGCGAUAAGGGGACAUCGAGUGGCACGCAUAUUGUGUGUCUGUCCACCCGUCUAAAAAACGGGUGUUAGCAAGGGCCGGGCAAGACCGGUGCCAGCCGCCGCGGUAAUACCGGCGGCUCGAGUGGUGGCCGAUAUUAUUGAGUCUAAAGGGUCCGUAGCCGGCUUUGCAAGUCUUUUGGGAAAUCCAGCGGCUUAACCGUUGGGCGUCUGAGAGGUACUACAUUGCUUGGGACUGGGAGAGGCGAGAGGUACUCAAGGGGUAGGAGUGAAAUCCUGUAAUCCUUUGGGGACCACCGGUGGCGAAGGCGUCUCGCCAGAACAGGUCCGACGGUGAGGGACGAAAGCUAGGGGCACGAACCGGAUUAGAUACCCGGGUAGUCCUAGCCGUAAACGAUGCUCGCUAGGUGUCACGGCAGUCGUGAACUGCCGUGGUGCCGUAGGGAAGCCGUGAAGCGAG